GAAUCACUGGGCUUAAAGGGUGCGUAGGCGGAUCGGCAAGCGUCUUGUGAAAGCCCCCGGCUCAACCGGGGAACAGCAGGGCGAACCGCCGGUCUCGAGGUUGGUAGGGGUCGCUGGAACGCUCGGUGGAGCGGUGAAAUGCGUAGAUAUCGAGCGGAACGCCGGAGGUGAAGACGGGCGACUGGGCCAAUCCUGACGCUGAGGCACGAAAGCGUGGGGAUCAAACAGGAUUAGAUACCCUGGUAGUCCACGCUGUAAACGAUGCGCACUUGAUCGGUGCGGGUUUGACCCCGUGUCGGUCGCAGAGAAAUCGCUAAGUGCGCCGCCUGGGAAGUACGGUCGCAAGGCUAAAACUCAAAGGAAUUGACGGGGGCUCACACAAGCGGUGGAGCAUGUUGCUUAAUUCGAUGCAACGCGAAGAACCUUACCCGGGUUUGACAUGUACGGAUUAGUUCCUGGAAACAGGAAUGACGCCCGCAAGGGUGGAACGUACACAGGUGCUGCAUGGCUGUCGUCAGCUCGUGCUGUGAAGUGUCGGGUUAAGUCCUCUAACGAGCGCAACCCCUGUCGCUAGUUGCCAGCGCGUCAUGGCGGGGACUCUAGCGAGACUGCCGGUGUCAAACCGGAGGAAGGUGGGGAUGACGUCAAGUCCUCAUGGCCUUUAUAUCCGGGGAUGCAAACGUGCUACAAUGGCGCGCACAAAGCGACGCAAGGCCGCAAGGCGGAGCAAAUCGCAAAAAACGCGCCCCAGUUCGGAUUGCAGGCUGCAACUCGCCUGCAU
rnacentral:rRNA from 1 species